AGCUGUGCUGUGUCCUCACUGGGAUCUACAGUAUCCUCCACUCACCCUCUGCAGCAGGGUGGAACAACACAGCU
rfam:Apis mellifera strain DH4 linkage group 5, whole genome shotgun sequence.